rnacentral:Y_RNA from 1 species
GGCUGAUCUGAAGGUAGUGAGUUAUCUCGGUUGAUUGUUCACAGUCAGUUACAGAUUGAACUCCUUGUUCUACUACUUUCCCUCCUCCUCACUACUGUACUUGACUAGUCUAAA